AUUGAACGCUGGCGGCAGGCUUAACACAUGCAAGUCGAGCGGGGAAGGGUAGCCUGCUACCUGACCUAGCGGCGGACGGGUGAGUAAUGCUUAGGAAUCUGCCUAUUAGUGGGGGACAACAUUCCGAAAGGAAUGCUAAUACCGCAUACGCCCUACGGGGAAAGCAGGGGAUCUUCGGACCUUGCGCUAAUAGAUGAGCC
rnacentral:rRNA from 1 species